GCAGACAGACAGACAGACAGACAGACAGACAGACAGACAGACAGACAGGCAGACAGACAGACAGGCAGACAGACAGGCAGACAGACAGACAGACAGACAGACAGACAGACAGACAGGCAGACAGACAGACAGACGGACAGACAGACAGACAGACAGGCAGACAGACAGACAGACAGACAGACAGACAGGUAGACAGACAGGCAGA